CAGUCGCCGCGGUAAUACGUAGGUGGCAAGCGUUGUCCGGAAUUAUUGGGCGUAAAGCGUGCGCAGGCGGUUGUGUAAGACAGGUGUGAAAUCCCCGGGCUUAACCUGGGAACUGCGCUUGUGACUGCACAGCUAGAGUAUGGCAGAGGGGGGUGGAAUUCCACGUGUAGCAGUGAAAUGCGUAGAGAUGUGGAGGAACACCGAUGGCGAAGGCAGCCCCCUGGGCCAAUACUGACGCUCAUGCACGAAAGCGUGGGGAGCAAACAGGAUUAGAUACCCGCGUAGUCCCUGUCUCUUAUAC
rnacentral:rRNA from 1 species